GCUGCUGCGGGUGGUGACAGUGUUGGAGGUCUCCUCCGCCUCCUCAUCUUCCUUCACCUCCAGGACCUCGUUAAAGAACCUGAAGAUGGAGUUGAAACUCAUCCAGGAGAAAGCGAUCAAUGCCGCAGCGCUCUCUCAUUCACCCUGAACUGGCGGUGAACUCCUCCGGAACGCCGCCAGGCUCUCCACCCUAUCCCAUCGCAGUCCGGGGUCACCAGGGGGGCGUCUCUGUGCCAAUAUGCAGAUGAGCCUGUGCCCCUCCAAUGACUCUGUUGUGAAGCUCCACCCCCUCUAUAUGGUAGAGAACCCCCCCCCCCUUCUCUUGACAACACUCCCACACAUAGAGACAUAAACCCGCUCUCUCACUGGCUUAAAUAGGCCUUUAACAGCUUACGUCCACUCUUCCUUUAAUAGCCAAAGUGUGUCCGACCUAAUGGAUGUUGUCAAAGCUGAGAUGUGAGCGCUGAUUUAAAGGAGGAACCCCAGUGACCAGGCUUCGCUCGCCACUAAAAAGACCCAGAGAAAGAGCGAGAGAGUGGAAGAGAGGGAAUUACCUCAGCUCGGCUACAAAUCAAAGUAAUAUCUUUAAAAGAUGUGGGGAUCGAUGAGGUGUCAUCAGGCUGUAUCGGUGUGUAAAGUGAACCCAUAAACAGCCAAUGAGCACAACUUCAUCCCUAAUUCUUGUUCCUUACUGUAAAAAGUUUUUCAACUGAUAAGCAGAUUUCUUUAUGCGUUAUUGAUUUCAUGUGUUGUUAAAAUAUAACGGAUUAAGAGCUUUAACAUUUCAAUAAAACUGUCUCGCAUUUAACUGAUGCUUUCAAAAUAAAGUGUUAUAAAGUA